rnacentral:rRNA from 1 species
GACGAACGCUGGCGGCGUGCUUAACACAUGCAAGUCGAACGGAAAGGCCCUGCUUUUGUGGGGUGCUCGAGUGGCGAACGGGUGAGUAACACGUGAGUAACCUGCCCUUGACUUUGGGAUAACGUCAGGAAACUGGGGCGAAUACCGGAUAGGAGCUCCUGCUGCAUGGUGGGGGUUGGAAAGUUUCGGCGGUUGGGGAUGGACUCACGGCUUAUCAGCUGGUUGGGGGGGUAGUGGCUUACCAAGGCUUUGACGGGUAGCCGGCCUGAGAGGGUGACCGGCCACAUUGGUACUGCGAUACGGCCCAGUCUCCUACGGGCGGCAGCAGUGGGGAAUAUUGCGCAAUGGGCGGAAGCCUGAUGCGGCGACGCCGCGUGCGUGAUGCCGGCCUUCGGGUUGUAAACCGCUUUCGCCUGUGACGAAGCGUGAGUGACGGUAAUGGGUAAAGAAGCCCCGGCUAACUACGUG